CGCUGGCGGCGUGCUUAAUACAUGCAAGUCAACUGAACUGAGAGUAGCAAUAUUUUCAGGGAGGUGGCGCACGGGUGAGUAACACGUAGGUAAUCUACCUUUGGGACUGACAUAAUACCGGGAAAUCGGUACUAAUAUCAGAUAAUGCAGCGGCUCCGCAUGGAGACAGUUGUUAAAGCUUCGGCGCCUGAAGAUGAGCCUGCGGCCCAUUAGAUAGUUGGUAAGGUAACGGCUUACCAAGUCAACGAUGGGUAGCUGGUCUGAGAGGAUGAUCAGCCACACUGGAACUGAGACACGGUCCAGACUCCUACGGGAGGCAGCAGUAAGGAAUAUUGCUCAAUGGCCGAAAGGCUGAAGCAGCAACGCCGCGUGGAGGAAGAAUGGCUUUUGCUUGUAAACUCCUGUAUGAGGGGAAAAAAUCUCGCCUCCGGCGAGGAUGAUGGUACCCUCGGAGUAAGCCCCGGCUAACUACGUGCCAGCAGCCGCGGUAA
rnacentral:rRNA from 1 species